rnacentral:lncRNA from 1 species
UGUAUUUGCUAGCAUUGCUCUCUUUACGAUGUCAGUUAAUAGCCUGAAGCUACCAUAUAAUAUUGUAGUUCAAGCUACCUAGACUUGUGAGGGUGACAAAUAAAAUCAUUUGUAUGACUUUAACUAACUUUUCGAUUAUGACAACAAUACCUUGCACUAUUUGUUUGUUUUAUUUAAUCCAUCCGAUGCAGAAUCAUUGAAACCUUUUUCUAACAUUGAUUGCUUUGUUUUAGCCAUCUUUCAACGAAGCUCUGCUGGAGAUGUUUCAAGUUGAUUAUGUGGGAACUGCUCCUUACCUAAGUUGCACACCUUCUGUUUUGCAUCACAGACUUUCGUCAAGUGACCAGUUCUUGGUACUCUCCUCUGAUGGGCUUUACCAAUAUUUCAGCAAUGAAGAGGUAGUAGCCCAUGUUACGUGGUUCAUGGAAAAUGUCCCCGAAGGUGACCCCGCACAAUACCUUAUUGCCGAGCUUCUCUUCCGCGCUGCUAAAAAGAAUGGUCAGUUACUCCACUUUCCUAGUCCUCAGAUAUUAUUUUCACAACUUAACACAUUACAUCUGAGUAAUUCUUUACACCUGCUCCUCUCAACUUGCUUUCCACUUAAUGUUCUUGAGCAAAUUCUUUGAAACCAAACAUCUUUUCGAAAUGAGUUCUAUUUUUAUCGAGGUGGCCCUACAAUGUUGCUGAAAGAGCCGUAUGUUUGAAUUGGAAUUUGUUACAGACAUACUCUUUCAUCCUUCUCUAUAAAAAGAAAGCUAUCAUGUGCCAAUAUCAGAGAUGUCAAAUGUUUCCAACUUUCCUCUUCAUAGUACACAACAUUAAUUAUGGUGCAUCCCCAGUGUCUGUUUUUACACUAUUAACCAAUUAUGUGUUGUUGUCAUUAUCAUUAAAAAUGUUUGGCUCUUAUAAUAGCUUCAUAGAAAUCACACUAGUAAAAAAAUUACACUGCUAUAUCAAAAUAGCCUUGAUUUUGUUUUUACAAACUAGUAAUCCUUCUAACUUCAAGUGUCAACAUAUGAAAACGUUACAUGUUUAGGAUGUUUUUGGGGUGCAAGAUUUCUAUUUGACAUGUUUGAUUCUUAGAUUAGUUGUGAAUAAUUAAAGCUCUUUAAACAAAUGAGGAUUCUUGUCAUAUAUUAUUAUGUAUCAUUCUCUUUGCUACCAACUAGAAACAACCACCUAAUUCUGAUAACUUGUUUUUUAAUGGAAGUUAAUUUAUUAAAAUUUGAGUGUUAUUUCUUGUUUCUUAUAUGACAUUUUUUUUUAUUGUGGCAGGAAUGGAUUUUCAUGAAUUGCUUGAUAUUCCUAAUGGGGAUCGACGUAAAUAUCAUGAUGAUGUAUCUGUUAUGGUGGUUUCUUUGGAAGGGAGAAUUUGGAAAUCAUCAGGAUAAUUCUCUUUUCUCUUUCUAUUUUUCUUUUAACUAAAUGCUUCUCUAUUUAAUAAUGUAACAAUUUUGGGCUAGGAGUAAAAUUGAUUUUAGAAAUCAAAAUUAGUCUUUGAAUCAUUUCGAAAUGAAACAUAUUUUUCUCUAGUCUCAAACCAAGUUUAUUGGAAAUUCAGUUAAUGGAAGGUUACUACAAGUUUUUGUAGUACUUUACUGGUUAAGUAAGAAACUAUGUCACAAAAGAAAGAGUAUAUCAACAUGAGGAAUUGAGAAUGUUGUUCCACUAUUUAUUAUUUUAUAUCACUUUAUAUACCAGGAGGAAUAAUUAAUCAUAAAAUAUUUAAUAAUUAUAAUUUUAACUUAAAUAAUUUUUUCCACAUAUAUUAACAUACUGCACUGAGUACAACUACACAGAAUGGCCCAUCCAUGUUUCGCUACAGGCAAAUGAUUUUUCAUUUAUAUUUUUUUACCAUUAUUAUGACUUCGGCUAAAGAGCUAUAGAGAAAAAAAAAGCUGAGAACAUCAAUUUAUGAAAUAAAUUUGUCAUAAUUUACAAAAAUAGAUUAUGACCUUCAAAUCAAUAUUUUUCGCUUAUUUUUAUUAAGCAAAAACUUAUGGAUAAGUUUUAUUUACUUAUUUAAAAAUAAAGAAUAUUCAAUAAAUACUUAAUUAAGCCCUUAACCCCAGCACAUUAUUAACAUGUAUAUGUACCGUAUAUUUUUAAGUAAAACAAAUCUAUUAAAUUUUAACUGACUUAUCUUUGUUCAAAGCUAAUUAUAAUGAGCUCAUGCUUUAAAAAUUAGAGUCAUAUUUUUCAGCUAGACUCAAGUUAUGCUUUGAGUCACCUUAGCUUAUCUUGAUGUUUUACUUUUUUUUAAAUGUAAAAUUUAUUUAUAAUCAUAUAUGGGUGUAUAAGAAUUUUGUAGGAUAAAGGUUUUAUAUAUCAUUACAACAUAAUUAUAUUAUAUUAUUUAUUAUAAAUUAUAUAUUAAAAAAUAUACGUUAAAUUUAGUUACUACCUGGUAAUGCUUAUAAUUUAAAUUUAUAAAUUAUAUCAGUUUAUCUAUUUAAGAGGGGGAAAAUAUAUGCAUAACCAUGUUUAAUUAUUAUUAACUUUGUAUAUUAUUAACUAUGUAAUAAAAUACCUUGCACUAUUUGUUUGUUUUAUUUAAUCCAUCCGAUGCAGAAUCAUUGAAACCUUUUUCUAACAUUGAUUGCUUUGUUUUAGCCAUCUUUCAACGAAGCUCUGCUGGAGAUGUUUCAAGUUGAUUAUGUGGGAACUGCUCCUUACCUAAGUUGCACACCUUCUGUUUUGCAUCACAGACUUUCGUCAAGUGACCAGUUCUUGGUACUCUCCUCUGAUGGGCUUUA